AACGAACGCUGGCGGCAGGCCUAACACAUGCAAGUCGAACGGACCUUUCGGGGUUAGUGGCGGACGGGUGAGUAACACGUGGGAACGUGCCUUUAGGUUCGGAAUAGCUCCUGGAAACGGGUGGUAAUGCCGAAUGUGCCCUCCGGGGGAAAGAUUUAUCGCCUUCAGAGCGGCCCGCGUCUGAUUAGCUAGUUGGUUGAGGGAACGGCUCACCAAGGCGGCGAUCAGUAGCUGGUCUGAGAGGAUGGCCAGCCACAGUGGGACUGAGACACGGCCCAAACUCCUACGGGAGGCAGCAGUGGGGAAUCUUGCGCAGUGGGCGAAAGCCUGACGCAGCCAUGCCGCGUGAAUGAUGAAGGUCGUAGGAUUGUAAAAUUCUUUCACCGGGGACGAUAAUGACGGUACCCGGAGAAGAAGCCCCGGCUAACUUCGUGCCAGCAGCCGCAGUAAUAC
rnacentral:rRNA from 1 species